AACGAACGCUGGCGGCAGGCCUAACACAUGCAAGUCGAGCGCGCCUUCGGGUGAGCGGCGGACGGGUGAGUAACGCGUGGGAAUAUGCCCUUCUCUACGGAAUAGUCCUGGGAAACUGGGGGUAAUACCGUAUACGCCCUUUGGGGGAAAGAUUUAUCGGGGAAGGAUUAGCCCGCGUUGGAUUAGGUAGUUGGUGGGGUAAUGGCCUACCAAGCCGACGAUCCAUAGCUGGUUUGAGAGGAAGAUCAGCCACACUGGGACUGAGACACGGCCCAGACUCCUACGGGAGGCAGCAGUGGGGAAUCUUAGACAAUGGGGGCAACCCUGAUCUAGCCAUGCCGCGUGAGUGAUGAAGGCCUUAGGGUUGUAAAGCUCUUUCAGCUGGGAAGAUAAUGACGGUACCAGCAGAAGAAGCCCCGGCUAACUCCGUG
rnacentral:rRNA from 1 species